GCUGCUACUACUAAUUUUUACUGCCAUGAUGUUGAUACUUCUUAGAAUAUGUUCAGUGCCUUAAUUCUAGUAGUAUUUGUUAUCGAAAACAUGAUUGUAUUGUGAGCCAUCAAGCUCUUGGAGUCUUCUUAGAGCUUGCUGGUAUUUACCUUUUUCCACCAAUAUAAUAUUUGCUACUAUUUACUCCUCAUGGUUGCUACUGUUAUCCAUGCCCUCAUGCUUCAGGAUCGACUCCUAGCUGCUUGUGUAUCUAUUUAUUAUUCUGUUAAUUAUUCUUUUCCUAGCUGUUCUCUGUUGGAAGGUAUUGCUUUCAUUUUGAAUUGGCAGCCAUGAUAACGAUCAUUUUCAUUCUUCUACAGGAGCUCUAGGUUGAAGAAGUUAAAAGAAGGGAACACUUCAUCUUUGAUAUGGAAGGAGCUCCAGGCCUAGGAAAUUUCAAGUUCGAAGCGGCGUGUAGCCCUAGCAGCAAAGAUUUGUUCUGUUUGACUGUAAUAAACUGUAAAUAUUAUAGUACUGUAAUAGUAGGCAUAUCUGGGUUGUAAUAGACUAUGCACAAAUUGUAAUAGACUUUGUACAGUAGCUCCAGGCCUAAGAAAUUCUACAUUUUUUCUGUUCUAUUUAAAA